CUUGAAUGUAUGUAUGUGUUUGCCAGCCCCUUACCCCAGUGUAUGCUAAACACAUUCUCUUGUAUAUUUGCAUACAGCCAGGCUCUCAAAGAUUGGUGGAUAUGACUUAAAGAGCUGUUUAAGCACCAUCAUGGACAGGCUCAUGACAAAUGAAUUAAUGUCCAAUCUGAACAUGAAGGGGAGAGGGGGAAAAAAAUAGCUUUGCCGAGACGAAGCUGCUCGAUGUAGUCACAGCUAGUGUCUUGGAUACCCAGAAGGGGACCGAAACGAUGGUCCAUGAUGCCAUAAAAAAUAAACUGAAAUAUGCCCCUGGACGGAAAGGAGGAAUAGGAUGGGCAUCACAGUCUAAAUAAAUAAUUAUAUCGAU